rnacentral:rRNA from 1 species
UACGUAGGCAGCGAGCGUUGUUCGGAAUUACUGGGCGUAAAGAGUGUGUAGGCGGUGCUCUAAGUUCGGUGUGAAAUCUCCUGGCUCAACUGGGAGGGUGCGCCGGAAACUGGAGUGCUUGAGCGUGGGAGAGGAAAGCGGAAUUCCUGGUGUAGCGGUGAAAUGCGUAGAUAUCAGGAGGAACACCUGUGGUGUAGACGGCUUUCUGGACCAUAGCUGACGCUGAGACACGAAAAGCGUGGGUAGCAAAACAGG